CCUACGGGGAGCUGCAGUGGGGAAUAUUGGACAAUGGGCGAAAGCCUGAUCCAGCCAUGCCGCGUGUGUGAAGAAGGCCUUCGGGUUGUAAAGCACUUUCAGUGGGGAAGAAAGCCUUGGGGCUAAUACCCUCGAGGAAGGACAUCACCCACAGAAGAAGCACCGGCUAACUCCGUGCCAGCAGCCGCGGUAAUACGGAGGGUGCGAGCGUUAAUCGGAAUUACUGGGCGUAAAGCGCGCGUAGGCGGUCUGAUAAGCCGGUUGUGAAAGCCCCGGGCUCAACCUGGGAACGGCAUCCGGAACUGUCAGGCUAGAGUGCAGGAGAGGAAGGUAGAAUUCCCGGUGGAGCGGUGAAAUGCGUAGAGAUCGGGAGGAAUACCAGUGGCGAAGGCGGCCUUCUGGACUGACACUGACGCUGAGGUGCGAAAGCGUGGGUAGCAAACAGGAUUAGAUACCCUAGUAGUC
rnacentral:rRNA from 1 species